rnacentral:lncRNA from 1 species
GCGGAGGCACGGGAUCGCGGCAAGGGGAUCGCUUAGCUAGCUAGCGAGGAGCGGUACUUUGCCUAGGUGGUUUACUCUUUCUUUUUGUAGUUGAGAGAGUGAGAGGUUUUGUCUCCAUGUAUAGAGACCACCUAUGUAUCUACCUAUAGCACUUGUAUCUGGGAUUCCCUUGUAUCACUUUAUAUUUUAUUUAGUGGAUUUACAGUUUUAUCCUUAUCCUUUGUUGUAGCAUUUAGACAUUUAUUAUGCUCUGAUACUCCUAGAUGUCUUUUAUUAUUGCUUUUAUUAUUGUUGUUUUAGACGCCUUAUACGUUUUAGACGUAUGGCGGGUCUGGGCACGCGCCGGGCGGGCUUCCGCUGGGUCCCGGAGCGUGACACGACCCUUCGUGCCCCCGACUCUCUUAGCUCCAAGACUUUAGGUGAUGUCACAAUGCUACGAUUCGGGUUUCGUGAUUUUUGGAAGCUUACGCCGCGAGCUGCGACAAUCUGUACCGAAAUCGGCAUUUUCUUCAAUAUCUUCACGUAGCCUCGUCGUAUCGCCGAACCGACUUCGCCAACGCGUCAGAAAACCUAGCAAUUAGAUUUAUACAUGCUCAAUUUAGAUCAAACCUCUACAUAUUGCAAAACCCCAAUUUGAGCCUUAACAUGCUACUAUUGCAAGAAAUCACCAAAUUGGAACUUGAUUCAUGCAAUUAACAUGUUAUUAGCAUCUAGGGAGUUCUCUAAACCCAUUCCUAGAGCAUACGAAUCAUUCCUUAGCAAUCUACCAUAGUUACUACCAAAGCUUACCUCCAAAGCUUUCUCUAAUAGAGAGGAAGAAGAUGAAAGCUUGAGCUCCAAGCUACUCUCCAACUUUCAAGGAUUCUACUCCAACUUCUUCUCCAAUUAAUCCUCUUUUGUGGAGAGAUUAGAAGAGAAAAGGAGUGAGGGGUGAGAACUAGAGAGAAAGAGAGAAAAAGAGAAAAGAAACUUGCUCUCCAAGUCUCUCUCGGGUUGGGCACAAAUGAGAAAAAGAGUGCAAGUUCACAUAUAUAUACUCCCAAAAUACUAUUCACAUCAGAUUGUGGCUCAGGUACAGAUAUUUUUCGUCUGCCCUUCAGAACGUCCGAUUGAGCUCAAACUUGGCAGUCACGAUCAGUUUAACCUUACUUAACGAAAGAAAUUUUAAUCUUUCAGUUUCGACCCCGUUUGGUCACCGAAAGCUGUACCGAACUGUAAUCUUUAUCAGAUAACUGUCGGAUUUUAUUUUCCACCUUCCGGGUGUCAGAAUGGCAUGAAACUUUAAAUCUAGCCUCAUAAAAAUAAUCCUAACGUAUUCCCAAAUUUUCGGAAUUUUCUGACACCGUGCAUUUUCUGCUAAAAUAUCAGCCCGGUCUCACACAGAAAAUUCUCAAUCUUCUAUUUUCACUCCGAUUUCCGCACGAGUCAAUCCUGACGUAUAAUUUACUUGUCUAAGUCCAAUAAAAAUAGUAUCUCACACUAUUUUUAUUUAUUUUUAUCCUUAUUUUAAAAUUCGGUAUGCUACAGGAACUAGUGGUAUAUAUGAAAACUAUUAUGGGAUAACGAAAUAAUUAAGAUUUAUGGAAAUAUAAUGUGGA